UACGUAGGGUGCAAGCGUUGUCCGGAAUUAUUGGCGUAAAGGGCUCGUAGGCGGUCCAUCGCGGUCGGGAGUAGAAAGCUGGGGCUUAACCCCAGUCCGUUGCUUCCGAUGACGGGUGGACGUAGAGGUAGGUAGGGGGAGGAUCGGAAUUCCUGGGUGGUAGCGGUGAAAUGCGCAGAUAUCAGGAGAACACCGGUGGCGAAGGCGGAUCCUCUGGGCCUUACCUGAACGCUGAGGAGCGAAAGCAUGGGGAAGCGAAACAAGG
rnacentral:rRNA from 1 species